rnacentral:rRNA from 1 species
AUUGAACGCUGGCGGCAUGCCUUACACAUGCAAGUCGAACGGCAGCGGGGGAGAAGCUUGCUUUUCCUGCCGGCGAGUGGCGAACGGGUGAGUAAUACAUCGGAACGUGCCCUGUAGUGGGGGAUAACUAGUCGAAAGAUUAGCUAAUACCGCAUACGACCUGAGGGUGAAAGUGGGGGACCGCAAGGCCUCAUGCUAUAGGAGCGGCCGAUGUCUGAUUAGCUAGUUGGUGGGGUAAAGGCCUACCAAGGCAACGAUCAGUGGCUGGUCUGAGAGGAAGAUGAGCCAAACUGGGACUGAGACACGGCCCAGACUCCUACGGGAGGAAGCAGUGGGGAAUUUUGGACAAUGGGCGAAAGCCUGAUCCAGCAAUGCCGCGUGUGUGAAGAAGGCCUUCGGGUUGUAAAGCACUUUUGUCCGGAAAGAAAUGGCUCUGGUUAAUACCUGGGGUCGAUGACGGUACCGGAAGAAUAAGGACCGGCUAACUACGUGCCAGCCGCCGCAGUAA